CCUACGGGUGGCAGCAGUGAGGAAUAUUGGGCAAUGGACGAGAGUCUGAAGCAGCAAAGUAGCGUGAAGGAUGACUGCCCUAUGGGUUGUAAACUUCUUUUAUAUGGGAAUAAAACGUUCCACGUGUGGGAUUUUGUAUGUACCAUAUGAAACAGGAUAGGCUAACUCCGUGCCAGCAGCCGCGGUAAUACGGAGGAUCCGAGCGUUAUCCGGAUUUAUUGGGUUUAAAGGGAGCGUAGGUGGAUUGUUAAGUCAGUUGUGAAAGUUUGCGGCUCAACCGUAAAAUGGCAGUUGAAACUGGCAGUCUUGAGUACAGUAGAGGUGGGCGGAAUUCGUGGUGUAGCGGUGAAAUGCUUAGAUAUCACGAAGAACGCCGAUUGCGAAGGCAGUUCACUGGACUGCAACUGACACUGAGGCUCGAAAGUGUGGGUAUCAAACAGGAUUAGAUACCCCUGUAGUC
rnacentral:rRNA from 1 species